rnacentral:rRNA from 1 species
GUCUACGGCCAUACCACCCUGAACGCACCCGAUCUCGUCUGAUCUCGGGAGCUAAGCAGGGUCGGGCCUGGUUAGUACUUUGAUGGGAGACUGCCUGGGAAUACCCGGUGCUGGAGGCU